CGCAUAUACCAGAGAUCAUCAUAAAUUAAUCGAUCGGUCUUCUUCAUCAACUCAACCCUUUCUUUCUCUGCAUUUCUACGAUUUUAUUAUUAUCUUCAUGGAUUCACAUGUAUCUGAGUCCUGGUGGCACUGAUUCAUCUUGCAUGUUUAAAAAAGAAACACUUUCAGAGCCUUCCACCAUCGGAUAUGCGCCAAAGUUGCAAAAGUGCCUUAAAGAGUUGCAUAAAAAAAAAUGGUAUGAAAGUGUAUAUAGUGAUGGAAGGAGAAAAUGAGUCAAUGAGCGGUGGGUUUCCUACACUUGGUAUACCAAUUGCACCAACGAACUUUUGAAGGAUGGUACAGGGGGGCACAAUUGCAAACAACUAUAAAGUUGAUAAUGCAGUAUCUAACAAAGGGCAGGGAGCGUGGUAAUUCAGAAGGAAGGAUAUGGUAUUCAGGAGGGAGCUGAUAGUGUUUUAAGUUAGAAUUUUGAU